rnacentral:rRNA from 1 species
AUCCAGACUCCUACGGGAGGCAGCAGUGGGGAAUAUUGCACAAUGGGGGAAACCCUGAUGCAGCGACGCCGCGUGGGUGAAGAAGUAAUUCGUUACGUAAAGCCCUAUCAGCAGGGAAGAAAAUGACGGUACCUGAGUAAGAAGCCCCGGCUAACUACGUGCCAGCAGCCGCGGUAAUACGUAGGGGGCAAGCGUUAUCCGGAUUUACUGGGUGUAAAGGGAGCGUAGGCGGGCGAGAAAGUUGAAUGUUAAAUCUACCGGCUUAACUGGUAGCUGCGUUCAAAACUUCUUGUCUUGAGUGAAGUAGAGGCAGGCGGAAUUCCUAGUGUAGCGGUGAAAUGCAUAGAUAUCACGCAGAACCCCGAUUGCGAAGGCAGCCUUCCGGCGCCCUACUGACGCUGAGGCACGAAAGUGCGGGGAUCGAACAGGAUUAGAUACCCCCGUAC